rnacentral:rRNA from 1 species
CAUGCCGUAAACGAUGAGUGCUAAGUGUUAGGGGGUUUCCGCCCCUUAGUGCUGCAGCUAACGCAUUAAGCACUCCGCCUGGGGAGUACGACCGCAAGGUUGAAACUCAAAGGAAUUGACGGGGGCCCGCACAAGCGGUGGAGUAUGUGGUUUAAUUCGACGCAACGCGAAGAACCUUACCAGGCCUUGACAUCCCUCGCAAAACUAUGGAGACAUAGCAGAGGUUAUCGAGGAGACAGGUGG